rnacentral:rRNA from 1 species
UAUGGGUUGUAAACUGCUUUUAUAAGGGAAUAAAGUGAGAGUCGUGACUCUUUUUGCAUGUACCUUAUGAAUAAGGAUCGGCUAAUUCCGUGCCAGCAGCCGCGGUAAUACGGAAGGUCCGGGCGUUAUCCGGAUUUAUUGGGUUUAAAGGGAGCGUAGGCCGGAGAUUAAGCGUGUUGUGAAAUGUAGACGCUCAACGUCUGCACUGCAGCGCGAACUGGUUUCCUUGAGUACGCACAAAGUGGGCGGAAUUCGUGGUGUAGCGGUGAAAUGCUUAGAUAUCACGAAGAACUCCGAUUGCGAAGGCAGCUCACUGGAGCGCAACUGACGCUGAAGCUCGAAAGUGCGGGUAUCGAACAGGAUUAGAUACCCUGGUAGUCCGCACGGUAAACGAUGGAUGCCCGCUGUUGGUCUGAAUAGGUCAGCGGCCAAGCGAAAGCAUUAAGCAUCCCACCUGGGGAGUACGCCGGCAACGGUGCAACUCAAAA